rnacentral:tRNA from 1 species
GCUCUGGUGGCCCAGCUAUUUAAGGCAUCGGUCUUGUAAACCGAAAAUCGGAGGUGAAAUUCCUCCCCAGUGCA